GAUCCUGGCUCAGGACGAACGCUGGCGGCGCGCCUAACACAUGCAAGUCGAGGGGAAACGACAUCGAAAGCUUGCUUUUGAUGGGCGUCGACCGGCGCACGGGUGAGUAACGCGUAUCCAACCUGCCCAUCACUUGGGAAUAACCUUGCGAAAGUAAGACUAAUACCCAAUGAUAUCCCACGAAGGCAUCCGAAUGGGAUUAAAGAUUUAUCGGUGAUGGAUGGGGAUGCGUCUGAUUAG
rnacentral:rRNA from 1 species